UACGAAGGGGGCUAGCGUUGCUCGGAAUCACUGGGCGUAAAGCGCACGUAGGCGGCUUUCUAAGUCAGGGGUGAAAUCCUGGAGCUCAACUCCAGAACUGCCCUUGAUACUGGAGAGCUUGAGUCCGGGAGAGGUGAGUGGAACUCCGAGUGUAGAGGUGAAAUUCGUAGAUAUUCGGAAGAACACCAGUGGCGAAGGCGGCUCACUGGCCCGGUACUGACGCUGAUGUGCGAAAGCGUGGGGAGCAAACAGG
rnacentral:rRNA from 1 species